AACGAACGCUGGCGGCAUGCCUAACACAUGCAAGUCGAACGAGACCUUCGGGUCUAGUGGCGCACGGGUGCGUAACGCGUGGGAACCUGCCCUUAGGUUCGGAAUAACUCCCCGAAAGGGGUGCUAAUACCGGAUAAUGUCUUCGGACCAAAGAUUUAUCGCCUUUGGAUGGGCCCGCGUUGGAUUAGCUAGUUGGUAGGGUAAAAGCCUACCAAGGCGACGAUCCAUAGCUGGUCUGAGAGGAUGAGCAGCCACACUGAGACUGAGACACGGCCCAGACUCCUACGGGAGGCAGCAGUGGGGAAUAUUGGACAAUGGGCGAAAGCCUGAUCCAGCAAUGCCGCGUGAGUGAUGAAGGCCUUAGGGUUGUAAAGCUCUUUUACCCGGGAUGAUAAUGACAGUACCGAAAGAAUAAGCUCCGGCUAACUCCGUG
rnacentral:rRNA from 1 species